UCGCCUGAGCUAAAGUCAGAGGCUUAACUGACUGAGCAACCCAGUGCCCCAAAAGUUUUGUUUAAAACUAGGUAGGAACUUUUAAAUAAACCAAGAUUCUGUGGCAAAAGGUAAUUGGGCCCCUUCCUGGACUGCUUAUUUAAGUCUAUCAAGUGUUUUAUAAGAAAUGCUAUUUUUCCCCCCAGAAGGAGCAGCUGCUAAUCGUAUCAGGCCACCAGGUUCUGCUCAGCAACAUUCUUCUUAAGAAGUACCAAGGGGGGAAAAUGUGGUGGAGUGGAAAGGGGACUGGCCUGUGUCCCCAGGACUGCUACAUGCAUGUAGUUGAGAGACAUGGAUUUGAAUGCUGCCUUGAAUGCUUAUUACCAUUAUGACCUCAAACAAGUCAUUUAGCCUGUUGGAACCUCAACAUUUCAUCAACAAAAUGGGGAUAUUACCCAUGACAUCUGAGCAGAGGACUGAACGACGAGGGGCCAGUCCUAUGAAGCUCUGGGAAGAUCUAAGGUCCCCAGGUCCCACAAACUGAUAGAGGAAAGGAGUCGGGGAGGCGCAGCUAAUGAUAAAAAAGAUAACGGAAUAGCUGUUGCUCCAUUAGGAAAGCUAGAAUCUUCCUGCUGUAUCCACUAUAUCCCAGACUUUUUGGUCUCAUCCCCUCCCUGUGGUCCUGGCCAUGUCUCUUCCACAUUGCUGUUCCUAUGACCUGAGUCAGCCAUGAUGGUCACUCUGUGUGUGAUGCUGUCCCCUCUCCUUCACUUGGUACCAAGCUAGGCCCCAUUAUUCCAUCAGCCUCACACCAUCUAGGCUGUGCCUCUACCCUUCAUCACUUUGCUGAAGUGGGACCAUCUCCCACCCAGGUUGUACCUUUUAAAAGUUAUUUGCCCUCCCCUCAUUUUCUUAAUCUCUGAUAUAACCUAUUGCACGAUGACUCAUGUUUUCCGGCUCCUUAAUACAUCCCCUCCCCAGCCUCCUUGCCUAGAAGAACCUGCCCUGAGAUUAGGUUGGGAGCCAGAGAAAUCUGGUCCAAUCCUUCCCUCUCCUUAGUCAGGGGCCCCAGAUGGAAGGGUGCACAACCACUCUCUUGUCUGGGAGACCGAGCUGUGAUUUUGUUCUAUAAUUUAUUCUAGUGUCUCUCUCCUGGGUGGCUUGUUAGCCUUCAUCUCACCAGUCAUUCCCUUUCCAGGAAGGCCUGUCUGCAGCAACCAGAACUGGAAGCCUGGUGGCCCGCUUGACAUGCCCUGUGCUUGGGUAGACAAGCAGAAGCAACCCUGCUUGGGCUGUCAUCAGUCCACCGUGUCCUCUUCUAAGCCUCUCCAUUAACUUCUUGGACAGGAGCUGAGGACCAGUCAACUUUGUACACUCUGUGCACUCUGAAGCAGCUCUUAACAUAGGAUGGUAAGAGCUCCAUAAACUUUUGCAGAAGGAAUUACUGAAAUCUAUUGAAUUUUGUGCUCUGCUUUUCUUUCUUAACAUUAUUGCAGCAAACAAUCAAAUAAAGAUGAUUAGUCCCACUUUGUUCUAUACUAAGUAUAUCACACUUAUUCUAAUUCCAUGACUUAUUUGAGUUUUAAAACAUUGAGAUAUAAUUCAUAUACUGUAAAAUUCACCCCUUUAAAGUUUACAGUUUAGUGGUUUGUUUUUUUUUUAAUGUUUAUUCAUUUAUUUUUAAGGGGGGAGA